AACUGUUACCAAGGGAGAAAAACUGAGGGGGUGUUUGGGAGAGAGGGGCUAAACUUUAGCCCCUCUCUCAAAAACAAAAGUCCCUAGACUUAUGUUUUUGAGAGAGGGGCUAAAGUUUAGCCCCUCUCUCCCAAACACCCCCUCAGUUUUUCUCCCUUGGUAACAGUUG
rnacentral:pre_miRNA from 1 species